rnacentral:lncRNA from 1 species
UAUAGUAUAGAGUUGCCAUAUUGCCAUGUACAAGCUGCGGAGGAGGAAUAGUACCUGACCAGAACUCAAAUGAGCUCUAUGAACCAGGGAAGAAUACGAUGUUCCAUAUGCAAGAGGAAGUGCAGCAGCAGCGACUAGAUCACAUCCAUCAGGUACUAGAAACCUAUAAGUUCUCGUCACAAUCAUAUAUCAAAUUGCAAAUUACAGUUAGAAGUAUAGACAGAAAACUCAUGAAUAUAUGAACCAAGUAUAUUUUAAAGAAGAAUUAUACGACCAUAAUUUCGUAGGAAUAUAAGAUACAACCACAAGACUGCCUUCACAUACACACACACACACACACACACACAAAAAAAACUAAUUAACUAAUUUCUAGUUAAACGCCUGAUCAAAUCAGUAGCACACUUCAACUGGUUUCAUAGGUGUAUUCUUACACAAGACAUAUUACACAACUGAUGUCCGGGUUCACACCUCUGUUAGUAUGCUAUACAGUGUUAGGGUGCACCAAGUAAAGAUAAUGCUGAAACUAAUUUCAAAGUUACUCGAGCUUGCAGUUUUUGGUCAUUCUUAUGAUCUUUAACUAAAAUUCUUGCAACAAUAUAAUAAACAUACACUUCGUUUUGCAACAAUAUAAUAAACAUACACUUCGUUUGGGAUUGUUAGGUUAUACUAGUAUCGGAAAAGAUUGUCUUGGGGUCCGGAUGAGACUUCUAAGGAUCAGAACCCAAGCAUAAUUCACCGUUAACAGGGAUAAUCCAUUAUUUGCUUUUUCUUUUUUUCUAGAUACUGAUUAGAUGCUCCUCUGCUCUGCUUUCUAAACUCUAUCUAUUUCGGUAUUAUGGGUGGCAGCAAAAAACGUAAUACAUGAAUAUGUGCAUAUAUCAACUCACAAAUCGCUCUCAUCAGCAACGAUGAAUUGGGCAAAAGAACCGACAGUUGCAGUAGCACAAACAGGAUCACCCACUUUGAAUUUGGUGACAUUGGGUCCGAUGGAUUCAACGGUGCCG